CGACGAUCCAGCGAUUGCUAGCGAUGGAGAAGAGUUCCUUGGCCAUUGCUAGCGCCAUUGCUGCCAGCUUUGUGGACCGCACAAGUCCAUGUGACGCUCUGACUCGAGCCGUCGCUUGCUCUUUGAAAUGGCAAGCUUCUUCAAGCAGAGAGUUUAACAUAAACUUGGCAAUAACGUAGUUUCGUGGCUAA